rnacentral:sRNA from 1 species
GCCGGGCGAGGUGGCGCAAGCCUGUAAUCCCAGCGGCUCAGUAGGCUGAGGCAGGAGGAUCACAAAUUCAAAGCCAGCCUCAGCAACUUAGUGAGGCCCUAGGCAACUCAGUGAGACCCUGUCUCUA